rnacentral:tRNA from 2 species
GCACCCGUUGCCUAACGGAUAGGGCACUUGUCUUCGGAACAAGGUGUGCGGGUUCGAUUCCUGCCGGGUGCACAA